rnacentral:rRNA from 1 species
AGUGAACGCUGGCGGCAGGCCUAAUACAUGCAAGUCGAACGGCAGCACAGUGGAGCUUGCUCCAUGGGCGGCGAGUGGCGGACGGGUGAGGAAUACAUGGGAAUCUGCCCAGUCGUGGGGGAUAACGUAGGGAAACUUACGCUAAUACCGCAUGCGCCCUUCGGGGGAAAGCCGGGGACCUUCGGGCCUGGCGCGAUUGGAUGAGCCCAUGUUCGAUUAGCUAGUUGGCGGGGUAAAGGCCCACCAAGGCGACGAUCGAUAGCUGGUCUGAGAGGAUGAUCAGCCACACUGGGACUGAGACACGGCCCAGACUCCUACGGGAGGUAGCAGUAGGGAAUAUUGGACAAUGGGCGCAAGCCUGAUCCAGCCAUGCCGCGUGAGUGAAGAAGGCCCUCGGGUUGUAAAGCUCUUUUGUCCGGGAAGAAAAGCAUCGGGCUAAUACCUCGGUGUUCUGACGGUACCGGAAGAAUAAGCACCGGCUAACUUCGUG